rnacentral:tRNA from 1 species
GCCUCCGUGGCGCAGUUGGUAGCGCGAUGGCCCCGGCAAGGCCAAAGGUCGCAGGUUCGAGUCCUGCCGGAGGUG